GAUGAACGCUAGCGGCAGGCCUAAUACAUGCAAGUCGAACGGUAAGGCUCCUUCGGGAGUACACGAGUGGCGCACGGGUGCGUUACGCGUAUGCAACCUACCUUUCAGCGGGGGAUAUCCUGGGGAAACUCAGUGUAAUACCUCAUAUGCACACACUGUAGCAUUACAGAGUGUGGAAAACUCCGGUGCUGAGAGAUGGGCAUGCGUGACAUUAGCUAGUUGGUGUGGUAACGGCUCACCAAGGCUACGAUGUCUAGCUGGUCUGAGAGGAUGAUCAGCCACACUGGAACUGAGACACGGUCCAGACUCCUACGGGAGGCAGCAGUAGGGAAUAUUGGACAAUGGGCGCAAGCCUGAUCCAGCCAUGCCGCGUGGAGGAAGACGGCCCUCUGGGUUGUAAACUCCUUUUAGCAGGGGAUAAACCUGUACUAUACGUACAGCUGAAGGUA
rnacentral:rRNA from 1 species